GACGAACGCUGGCGGCGUGCUUAACACAUGCAAGUCGAACGGAAAGGCCCUGCUUUUGUGGGGUGCUCGAGUGGCGAACGGGGGAGUAACACGUGAGUAACCUGCCCUUGACUUUGGGAUAACUUCAGGAAACUGGGGCUAAUACCGGAUAGGAGCUCCUGCUGCAUGGUGGGGGUUGGAAAGUUUCGGCGGUUGGGGAUGGACUCGCGGCUUAUCAGCUUGUUGGUGGGGUAGGGGCUUACCAAGGCUUUGACGGGUAGCCGGCCUGAGAGGGUGACCGGCCACCUUGGGACUGAGAUACGGCCCAGACUCCUACGGGAGGCAGCAGUCGGGAAUAUUGCACAAUGGGCGGACGCCUGAUGCAGCAACCCCGCGUGCGUGAUGCCGGCCUUCGGGUUGUAAACCGCUUUCGCCUGUGACGAAGCGUGCGUGACGGUACUGGGUAAAGAAGCACCGGCUAACUACGUG
rnacentral:rRNA from 1 species